rnacentral:rRNA from 1 species
GACAACGGCUGGCGGCGUGCUUAACACAUGCAAGUCGAACGAUGAUGCCCAGCUUGCUGGGUGGAUUAGUGGCGAACGGGUGAGUAACACGUGGGUGAUCUGCCCUGCACUCUGGGAUAAGCCUGGGAAACUGGGUCUAAUACCGGAUAUGACCUUGGACUGCAUGGUUCUUGGUGGAAAGUUUUUCGGUGCAGGAUGGGCCCGCGGCCUAUCAGCUUGUUGGUGGGGUAAUGGCCUACCAAGGCGACGACGGGUAGCCGGCCUGAGAGGGUGACCGGCCACACUGGGACUGAGACACGGCCCAGACUCCUACGGGGGGCAGCAGUGGGGGAUCUUGCACAAUGGGCGAAAGCCUGAUGCAGCGACGCCGCGUGAGCGAAGAAGGCCUUCGGGUUGUAAAGCUCUGUCUGGAGGGACGAAGGAAGUGACGGUACCUCCGGAGGAAGCCACGGCUAACUACGUG